rnacentral:lncRNA from 1 species
CUAGGCCCUGGCUUUUUUUCUGUGUCGUACUGGGUGCAAUAUAGAUGGGUUUCCACACCUAUCGCGGGCUAUCAUCGGCCUAAAGAGGUUGCACAAGAUCAAAGAAACACAACUAGUCCAUUGGAAGAAAAGUAUUGGGACGAAAAUAAAAACUGAGUCCGGGCAUCUCCGAGCGGUUCUUGUGGGAAAAAACUUGAUAUUACUCAGAGUGAGGCCUCCUAGUAGUUAUCUGUGAAUUUUCGGGACGUUUCUCACAUGGUUAAAAAUCGGCCGAUUUUUCGUAUGGUAAAGCCUUGGCCAUUUUGGACCGUUUUUGGCGCAACCGUUGUGCACCCCGAACGAGCCCCACCCGACCCCUAGGCCCUGGCUUUUUUUCUGUGUCGUACUGGUGCAAUAUAGAUGGGUUUCCACACCUAUCGCGGGCUAUCAUCGGGCCUAAAGAGGUUGCACAAGAUCAAAGAAAAACACAACUAGUCCAUUGAAGAAAAGUAUUGGGACGAAAAUAAAAACUGAGUCCGGCAUCUCCGAGCGGUUCUUGUGGGAAAAAACUUUGAUAUUACUCAGAGUGAGGCCUCCUAGUAGUUAUCUGUGAAUUUUCGGGACGUUUCUCACCAUGGUUAAAAAUCGGCCGAUUUCGUAUGGUAAAGCCUUGGCCAUUUUUGGACCCUUUUUGGCGCAACCGUUGUGCACCCCGAACGAGCCCCACCCGACCCCUAGGCCUGGGCUUUUUUUUGUGUCGUACUGGGUGCAAUAUAGAUGGUUUCCACACCUAUCGCGGGCUAUCAUCGGCCUAAAGAGGUUGCACAAGAUCAAAGAAACACAACUAGUCCAUGGGAAGAAAAGUAUUGGGACGAAAAUAAAAACUGAGUCGGGCAUCUCCGAGCGGUUCUUGUGGGAAAAAACUUUGAUAUUACUCAGAGUGAGGCCUCUAGUAGUUAUCUGUGAAUUUUCGGACGUUUCUCACAUGGUUAAAAAUCGGCGAUUUUUCGUAUGGUAAAGCCUUGGCCAUUUUUGGACCGUUUUUGGCGCAACCGUUGUGCACCCGAACGAGCCCACCCGACCCCUAGGCCCUGGGUUUUUUUCUCAUGUGCGUACUGGGUGCAAUAUAGAUGGGUUUUCCACACCUAUCCGCGGGCUAUCAUCGGCCUAAAGAGGUUGCCACAAGAUCAAAGAAACACAACUGCCAUUGGUAGAAAAGUAUUGGGCGAAAAUAAAAACUGAGUCCGGGAAUCUCGACCGCGGUUCUUGUGGGAAAAAACUUUGAUAUUUACUCAGAGUGAGGCCUCCUAGUAGUUAUCUGUGAAUUCGCGGACGUUUCUCACAUGGUUAAAAAUCGGCCGAUUUUUCGUAUGGUAAAGCCUUGGCCAUUUUUGGACCGUUUUUGGCGCAACCGUUGUGCACCCCGAACGAGCCCACCCCGACCCUAGGCCCUGGGCUUUUUUCUGUGUCAUACUGGGUGCAAUAUAGAUGGGUUUCCACACCUAUCCGCGGGCUAUCAUCGGCCUAAAGAGGUUGCACAAGAUCAAAGAAACACAACUAGUCCAUGGGUAGAAAAGUAUUGGGACGAAAAUAAAAAACUGAGUCCGGGCAUCUCCGAGCGGUUCUUGUGGGAAAAAACUUUGAUAUUACUCAGAGUGAGGCCUCCUUAGUUAUCUGUCAUUUUCGGGACGUUUUCACAUGGUUAAAAUCGGCCGAUUUUUCGUAUGGUAAAGCCUUGGCCAUUUUUGGACCGUUUUUGGCGCAACCGUUGUGCACCACCCGAACGAGCCCCACCCGACCCCUAGCCCCUGGGCUUUUUUCUGUGUCAUACUGGGUGCAAUAUAGAUGGGUUUCCACACCUAUCCGCGGGCUAUCAUCGGGCUAAAGAGGUUGCACAAGAUCAAAGAAACAAAACUAGUCCAUUGGUAAGAAAAGUAUCGGGACGAAAAUAAAAACUGAGUCCGGCAUCUCGAGCGGUUCUUGUGGAAAAAACUUUGAUAUUACUCAGAGUGAGGCUCCUAGUAGUUAUCUGUGAAUUUUCGGGACGUUUCUCACAUGGUUUAAAAAUCGGCCGAUUUUUCGUAUGGUAAAGCCUUGGCCAUUUUUGGACCGUUUUUGGCGCAACCGUUGUGCACUCCGAAGGAGCCCCACCCGACCCUAGGCCCUGCGGCUUUUUUUCUGUGUCAUACUGGGUGCAAUAUAGAUGGUUUCCACACCUAUCUGCGGGCUAUCAUCGGCCUAAAUAGGUUGCACAAGAUCAAAGAAACACAACUAGUCCAUGGGAAGAAAAGUAUUGGACGAAUAAAAACUGGAGUCGGCAUCUCCGAGCGGUUCUUGUGGGAAAAAACUUUGAUAUUACUCAGAGUGAGGCCUCCUAGUAGUUAUCUGUCAAUUUUCAGGACGUUUCUCACAUGGUUAAAAUCGGGCCGAUUUUUCGUAUGGUAAAGCCUGGCCAUUUUUUGGACCGUUUUUGGCGCAACCGUUGUGCACCCCGAACCAGCCCCACCCGACCCCUAGGUCCUGGGCUUUUUUUCUGUGUCGUAAAGGGUGCAAUAUAGAUGGGUUUCCACACCUAUCCGCGGGCUAUCAUCGGUCUAAAUAGGUUGCACAGGAUCAUAGAAACACAACUAAACCAUUGGAAGAAAAGUAUUGGGACGAAAAUAAAAACUGAGUCUGGGCAUCUUCGAGCGGUUUUUAUGAGAAGAAACUUUAAUAUUACUCAAAGUGAGGCCGCCUAGAGUUAUCUGUGAAUUUUCGGGACGUUUCUCACAUGGGUAAAAAAUCGGCGACUUUUCGUAUGUUAAAGCCUUGGCCAUUUUGGACCGUUUUUGGCGCAACCGUUGCGCACCUCGAACGAGCCCCACCCGACCCCUAGGUCCUGGCCUUUUUUCUGUGUCGUAAAGGGUGCAAUAUAGAUGGUUUCCACACCUAUCCGCGGGCUAUCAUCGGUCUAAAUAGGUUGCACAAGAUCAAAGAAACACAACUAAACCAUGGGAAGAAAAGUAUUGGGACGAAAAUAAAAACUGAGUCUGGGCAUCUACGAGCGGUUUUUGUGGGAAGAAACUUUAAUAUUACUCAAAGUGAGGCCGCCUAGUAG